UACGGAGGGAGCUAGCGUUGUUCGGAUUUACUGGGCGUAAAGCGCACGUAGGCGGCUUGGUAUGUCGGGUGUGAAAUCCCCGGGCUCAACCUGGGAACUGCAUCCGAAACUGCCUUGCUCGAGUAUGGGAGAGGGAAGUGGAAUUUCCGGUGUAGCGGUGAAAUGCGUAGAUAUCGGAAGGAACAUCAGUGGCGAAGGCGACUUCCUGGACCAAUACUGACG
rnacentral:rRNA from 1 species